GUGCUUGAUUCAGCAGCACAUCUACUAAAAUUGGAAUGAUAUAGAGAAGAUUACCAUGGCCCCUGUGCAAGGAUGACACAAAAAUUUGUGAAGUGUUCCGUAUUUUU